AGAUACGAGGGUUACCUGGCGAUAACAUCUGUCACCCCUCUGAAUACCAGGAUUGAUUUGGCUGACUAGGCAAGUGUCCCUUUUCUCACUGGCCACUUCCUGUGUGUUCCUCCUGAAGCUGCACACUUAGAUAAAGUGGAUGAUCCUCCCUGAGAGAAGAGGACCAUUUUUCAGGAAAGGGUAUAACAAUAGCUGAGCUCUGCUGCUAGAACCUCCAAACAAGCUUUCAAGGUGCAUUUAUAGGAGAAAUGUAGGGUAGUCAAACUUUCAAGACUCAGAGGCAUCCACCUGAUAUGCUGCAUAUGAUAGUCUGCCUUUU
ensembl:misc_RNA 7SK 7SK RNA